rnacentral:pre_miRNA from 1 species
AGUGAGAUAGCUGGGUCAAAUGGUGCUUCCAUUCCAAGGUUUCUAAGGAAUCUCCAUACUGCUUUCUAGAGUGGUUGCACCAAUUUGCAGUCCCAUCAGCAAU